GAUGAAGAACGUAGCGAAAUGCGAUAAGUAGUGUGAAUUGCAGAAUUCAGUGAAUCAUCGAAUCUUUGAACGCACAUUGCGCCCUUUGGUAUUCCAAAGGGCAUGCCUGUUCGAGCGUCAUUUGUACCCUCAAGCUUUGCUUGGUGUUGGGCGUCUUGUCUCUAGCUUUGCUGGAGACUCGCCUUAAAGUAAUUGGCAGCCGGCCUACUGGUUUCGGAGCGCAGCACAAGUCGCACUCUCUAUCAGCAAAGGUCUAGCAUCCAUUAAGCCUUUUUUUCAACUUUUGACCUCGGAUCAGGUAGGGAUACCCGCUGAACUUAAGCAUAUCAAUAAGGGAGGA
rnacentral:misc_RNA from 1 species